rnacentral:rRNA from 1 species
UACAGAGGUCCCAAGCGUUGUUCGGAUUCACUGGGCGUAAAGGGUGCGUAGGCGGUCGGGGUAAGUCUGAUGUGAAAUCUCACAGCUUAACUGUGAAACUGCAUUGGAUACUAUUCGGCUUGAGAGUUGGAGGGGGGACUGGAAUUCUUGGGUGUAGCAGUGAAAUGCGUAGAUAUCAAGAGGAACACCAGUGGCGAAGGCGAGUCCCUGGACAACUUCUGACGCUGAGGCACGAAAGCUAGGGGAGCAAACAGG